rnacentral:rRNA from 1 species
CAGCAGCCGCGGUAAUACGGGGGGUGCAAGCGUUAUUCGGAAUUAUUGGGCGUAAAGAGCGCGUAGGCGGUUUUUUAAGUCAGAUGUGAAAGCCCGGGGCUUAACCCCGGAAGUGCAUUUGAAACUAAGGGACUUGAGUAUGGGAGAGGGAAGUGGAAUUCCUGGUGUAGAGGUGAAAUUCGUAGAUAUCAGGAGGAACACCGGUGGCGAAGGCGACUUCCUGGACCAAUACUGACGCUGAGGCGCGAAGGCGUGGGGAGCAAACAGGAUUAGAUACCCUGGUAGUCCACGCAGUAAACGUCGAUCACUAGGUGUAGCGGGUAUGGACCCCUGCUGUGCCGCAGUUAACGCAUAAAGUGAUCCGCCAGGGGAGUACGGUCGCAAGAUGAAAACUCAAAGGAAUUGACGGGGGCCCGCACAAGCGGUGGAGCAUGUGGUUUAAUUCGACGCAACGCGAAGAACCUUACCUGGAUUUGACAUCCCGGGAAUCUUUCUGAAAAGUUUGAGUGCCCUUCGGGGAACCCGGUGACAGGUGCUGCAUGGCUGUCGUCAGCUCGUGUCGUGAGAUGUUGGGUUAAGUCCCGCAACGAGCGCAACCCUUAUCUUUAGUUACCAUCAUUUAGUUGGGGACUCUAAAGAUACUGCCCCGGUUAACGGGGAGGAAGGUGGGGAUGACGUCAAGUCCUCAUGGCCUUUAUGUCCAGGGCUACACACGUGCUACAAUGGGUUGUACAAAGGGUUGCGAACCCGCGAGGGUAAGCCAAUCCCAAAAAGCAACUCUUAGUUCGGAUUGGAGUCUGCAACUCGACUCCAUGAAGCUGGAAUCGCUAGUAAUCGUGGAUCAGCAUGCCACGGUGAAUACGUUCCCGGGCCUUGUACACACCGCCCGUCACACCAUGAGAGUUGGUUGUACCCGAAGUUGCCAGGCUAACCCAUUAGGGGAGCAGGUACCUAAGGUAUGGCUGAUGAUUGGGGUGAAGUCGUAACAAGGUAGCCGUA